GAUGAACGCUGGCGGCGUGCCUAAUACAUGCAAGUCGAGCGAACAGACGAGAGUGCUUGCACUCUCUGACGUUAGCGGCGGACGGGUGAGUAACACGUGGGUAACCUACCUAUAAGACUGGGAUAACUUCGGGAAACCGGAGCUAAUACCGGAUAAUAUUUAGCUUCGCAUGAAGCAAUAGUGAAAGACGGUUCUGCUGUCACUUAUAGAUGGACCCGCGGUGUAUUAGCUAGUUGGUGAGGUAACGGCUCACCAAGGCAACGAUACAUAGCCGACCUGAGAGGGUGAUCGGCCACACUGGGACUGAGACACGGCCCAGACUCCUACAGGAGGCAGCAGUAGGGAAUCUUCCGCAAUGGACGAAAGUCUGACGGAGCAAUGCCGCGUGAGUGAAGAAGGUUUUCGGAUAGUAAAACUCUGUUGUAAGGGAAGAACAAGUACGUUAGUAACUGAACGUACCUUGGCGGUACCUUACCAGAAAGCCACGGCUAACUACGUG
rnacentral:rRNA from 1 species